AUUGAACGCUGGCGGCAUGCUUUACACAUGCAAGUCGAACGGUAACAGGUUAAGCUGACGAGUGGCGAACGGGUGUGUAAUGCAUCGGAACGUGCCCGACCGUGGGGGAUAACGCCGCGAAAGCUGCGCUAAUACCGCAUACGAUCUGAGGAUGAAAGCGGGGGACCGUAAGGCCUCGAGCGAUAGGAGCGGCCGAUGUCAGAUUAGGUAGUUGGUGGGGUAAAGGCUCACCAAGCCGACGAUCUGUAGCUGGUCGGAGAGGACGACCAGCCACACUGGGACUGAGACACGGCCCAGACUCCUACGGGAGGCAGCAGUGGGGAAUUUUGGACAAUGGGCGCAAGCCUGAUCCAGCAAUGCCGCGUGCAGGAAGAAGGCCUUCGGGUUGUAAACUGCUUUUGUACGGAGCGAAAAGGCUCUCUCUAAUACAGGGGGCUCAUGACGGUACCGUAAGAAUAAGCACCGGCUAACUACGUGCCAGCCGCCGCAGUAAAAC
rnacentral:rRNA from 1 species